rnacentral:rRNA from 1 species
CUACGGGGGGCAGCAGUGGGGAAUAUUGCACAAUGGGCGCAAGCCUGAUGCAGCAACGCCGCGUGAACGAUGAAGGCCUUCGGGUUGUAAAGUUCUUUUCUUAGGGAAGAAUAAAUGACGGUACCUAAGGAAUCAGCCCCGGCUAACUACGUGCCAGCAGCCGCGGUAAUACGUAGGGGGCAAGCGUUAUCCGGAAUCACUGGGCGUAAAGGGAGUGUAGGCGGUCAAGCAAGUCAGGGGUGAAAGGCAUCGGCUAAACCGAUGUAAGCCUUUGAAACUGUUUGACUUGAGUGCAGGAGAGGUAAGUGGAAUUCCUAGUGUAGCGGUGAAAUGCGUAGAUAUUAGGAGGAACACCAGUGGCGAAGGCGACUUACUGGACUGUAACUGACGCUGAGGCUCGAAAGCGUGGGGAGCGAACAGGAUUAGAUACCCUCGUAGUC